AUACUGAAAUGCAUGGUGGGAAAUAAGUGCAUAAUUAGCUUGCUGUACCUGCAACCGUGAAGUCGGAGCGCCACCCAGUAU
ncrna:unclassified sequences AdoCbl variant RNA